rnacentral:ncRNA from 1 species
UCCUGAAAUUGCAAACCCGUGACAACACGGCGACGCAAAGCCAGUGCCCGGCGGCAACCGGGUCGUACGGUUUCCGAA